rnacentral:rRNA from 1 species
UACGAACUGUGCAAACGUUAUUCGGAUUCACUGGGCUUAAAGGGUGCGUAGGCGGCCAUGUAAGUAGGGUGUGAAAUCCCCCGGCUUAACCGGGGAACUGCGCCCUAAACUGUAUGGCUGGAGUGAGAUAGGGGUGUGUGGAACUUCCGGUGGGGCGGUGAAAUGUGUUGAUAUCGGAAGGAACGCCGGUGGCGAAAGCGACACACUGGGUCUCAACUGACGCUGAGGCACGAAAGCUAGGGGAGCAAACAGG